UGGGGAAUCUUGGACAAUGGGCGCAAGCCUGAUCCAGCCAUGCCGCGUGAGUGAUGAAGGCCCUAGGGUUGUAAAACUCUUUCGCCAGGGAAGAUAAUGACUGUACCUGGUAAAGAAGCCCCGGCUAACUCCGUGCCAGCAGCCGCGGUAAGACGGAGGAUGCAAGCGUUAUCCGGAAUUAUUGGGCGUAAAGCGUCCGUAGGCGGUUUAUCAAGUCAGUUGUUAAAGACUGCAGCUCAACUGUGGGCGAGCAACUGAAACUGAUGAACUAGAGUCCGGUAGGGGUAGAGGGAAUUCCCAGUGUAGCGGUGAAAUGCGUAGAUAUUGGGAAGAACACCAGUGGCGAAGGCGCUCUACUGGGCCGCAACUGACGCUGAGGGACGAAAGCUAGGGGAGCGAAAGGGAUUAGAUACCCCCGUAGUCC
rnacentral:rRNA from 1 species